rnacentral:rRNA from 1 species
GAUGAACGCUGGCGGCGUGCCUAAUACAUGCAAGUAGCACGGAGCGGCGGACGGGUGAGUAAUGCCUAGGAACCUGCCUGGUAGCGGGGGAUAAAGUCCGGAAAUGGGCGCUAACACCGCACACUAUCAGACGAGCCUAGGUCGGAUUAGCUAGUUGGUGGGGUAAAGGCCUACCAAGGCGACGAUCCGUAACUGGUCCGAGAGGAUGAUCAGUCACACUGGAACUGAGACACGGUCCAGUCUCCUACGGGAGGCAGCAGUGGGGAAUAGUGUUCAAUGGGCGAAAGCCUGAUCCAGCCAUGCCGCGUGUGUGAAGAAGGUCUUCGGUUUGUAAAGCACUUGGAGUUAUGAGGCGUUACCAGCAGAAUAAGCACCGGCUAACUUCGUGCCAGCAGCCGCGGUAAUAC